rnacentral:rRNA from 1 species
AUGGACCUUACAGGAGGAGAGGAAUCCUCGACACACAACAUGCAAAUCAGUUGGCCGUCCUUGAACCCCCCUGCUCACGGCUACAUCGACGACGGCGGCGAGCGGCCACCCUUCGUCCUCAUCGAGCCCUACGCCUGCUUCGCCAACCUCAUCAACGGCACCACCGCCAGCACCCCAAUUAUGUUCGACACCGAGCUCGAGGGCUGUAGCAUCCAGGUCACCUUCUGCGCCGUCCACCCGCCGGACGUCUCUUACCUGUGCGUCCACGCCGUAGGCUUGGGCGACCCCCUGUUCACCAACCCGCCUCGCAUCCUCGCCACCGAGACGGACGGUAGCCUCCUCCUGCUAUGCGUCCCCAUCCCCAUCCCCGGCCAUCCUUUCCCACUCGGUGCCUACGUCAACAGCACCCGAGAAGAGUACUUCGUCUACAACCCCCGCGUCCCUGUGCUUGAGCACCUUCGGCACCCGGAACCCGGCAGCAUCCCCUGCUUGGUUGACGGCACGGUUGCCAUCGUGCGCAAGUGCAGCCAACACCAACACACCAGCAACCCAGGCCGCAAACAACAACCCCAUCGAGCCGGCGUCCACAACUUAGCCCUACAUCCCCAUGGAGCCGGCGUCCACAACUUCGCCCUACAAUCCCACGGAGCCGGCGGCCACAAGUUCGGCCUACAACCCCAUGGAGCCGGCCGCCACGACUGCAGCAACUGCAGCUACGUCAUUGCGGCGCAAUCUGAAAGGUUCGGAUCUGACUAUCCUUGUCAACUCUACCUCUAUCACUCCAAUACCUCCUCCUGGACCACUCCGUCCGUGGUAUUCGAGACGCCCCUCGACAACGAAUACCAAACACACAAGACAAUCUUCAUCGGAGGAGAAAAGGGUACUCUGGCCUGGGUCGAUCUCUCUGGAACUAUUGUCUUGUGGGACGUUCUCGGCAAGGGCCGCCGCAAGUUUCGCCAGUUCCAACUGCCAGGACCCAUCGACAAGGGCAGCGACGCAUCCACUCGGGACAUUGCUGUGCUCGGUUCUUCCAUCAACUAUGUCGUAAUGGAGUACUUUGCCCGUGGUUGGAAGGCCACUGUAUGGAGCAUCAGCACUAAUUCCCUCCCUGGGGAGGGUUGGGGCAUCCGUUACCAUCUUGAUUCCUCUAAUUUACAAGGUCUUGAAGGUGAACCAGCUACAGCUCCUUAUAUUGGCCUACCCAAGCUGAGCCUCCAAGACGAUGGCACUGUUUUCUUUCUCAAACAGGUUGACUACCGCGACCCACACCAACCGGCAUGGGUGCUUGCUGUUGACAUGAGAAACAAAACUGUCCAGAAAGUGGCCAAGUUUAUUCCCUCUGGUUUGUACGUCGACUAUGAAACAAGCAGGAUUUCCAAAUAUCUCAAAGUUGCUCCAGGUACAAAGCAAAUAACGAAAAGACCUGGGACGCCAUUGCUGAAAUCCCCUAGCAAGAAACAUACUGGAGACACAGAUGACCCUAUGACGGCGAUUGAUGUGUGUUAG